GGGGUUGUUGCUCAGUGGUUAGGGUGCUUGCCUAGAAUGCAUGAGGCUUUGGAUUCAAUCCCCAGCAACACAU
rnacentral:tRNA from 1 species